rnacentral:rRNA from 1 species
CGAAAUUCCUUGUCGGGUAAGUUCCGACCCGCACGAAUGGUGUAACGAUCUGGGCGCUGUCUCAACUGCCCGCCCGGCGAAAUUGUAGUACCGGUGAAGAUGCCGGUUACCUGCGACAAGACGGAAAGACCCCAUGGAGCUUUACUGUAGCUUGAUAUUGGGUUUUGGUAAUUUAUGUACAGGAUAGGUGGGAGACGAGGAGACUAUCGCGCCAGCGGUAGAGGAGUCGAUGUUGGGAUACCACCCUUAAGUUACUAGGAUUCUAACCAGAGGCCAUGAAACUGGUCAGGGGACAUUGUCAGGUGGGCAGUUUGACUGGGGCGGUCGCCUCCAAAAGAGUAACGGAGGCGCUCAAAGGUUCGUUCAGCACGGAUGGAAAUCGUGCACUGAGUGUAAACGCAUAAACGAGCCUAACUGCGAGAAUGACGGUUCGAGCAGUAACGAAAGUUGGAGUUAGUGAUCCGGCGGUAUGUGAAUGGAAAUGCCGUCGCUCAACGGAUAAAAGCUACCCUGGGGAUAACAGGCUGAUCUCCCCCAAGAGUCCACAUCGACGGGGAGGUUUGGCACCUCGAUGUCGGCUCAUCGCAUCCUGGGGCUGAAUUCGGUCCCAAGGGUUUGGCUGUUCGCCAAUUAAAGCGGUACGCGAGCUGGGUUCAGAACGUCGUGAGACAGUUCGGUCCCUAUCUGUUGCGGGCGCAGGAAUAUUGAGAGGAGCUGUCCUUAGUACGAGAGGACCGGGAUGGACGUACCGCUGGUGCACCAGUUGUUCUGCCAAGGGCAUAGCUGGGUAGCUAAGUACGGACGAGAUAAACGCUGAAGGCAUCUAAGCGUGAAACUCCCCUCGAGAUAAGUGUUCCCAUCCUUCGGGAGUAAGGCCCCUUGUAGACUACAAGGUUGAUAGGUCAGGAGUGGAAGUGCAGUAAUGUAUGGAGCGGACUGAUACUAAUAGGCCGAGGGCUUGACCUU